GGAGAGCUGGAGGGGAGCGGGCCGGGGGCUGUUUGGGGAUGCGUGGCUUGCUUUGAAAAUGUGGUAACUUUUGGGAAGUGGGAGAGAACCCCCGAGCCUGGGCUUUGAUGCUCAGGAGGCCCUGAGGCCACGGGUCCUGAGCCCAGGGGCGUCUGUGGCAUCGGCCUUGCCCUGUGGGCGCCAUGAAUCAGGGGGGCUUGGGGUGCGUAGGACGGGUGGGCGGGUGUGGGCAAGGGCUCCCCGUGCGUCCCUAGGAGGGGCUGGUGGAGGGGGGUUAAAAGGCACAAAAACAAAUCAAAAGUAAACACAGUCUCAGGCCCAUGCCCUCCGAUCGGAUCAGUUCUCUUCCUUCUUUCCAUGCUGUCCACCUGGCUCGCUCUUCAUCGCUUCUUUUCCUCUUUCAAGGGGCUCCCUCGGUCCCCUUUUUCAUUCAUUCAUAUCUAAACGCCAGAAUGAGCAGGAGUCUGCCGUGGUAGCUGCCAGAACCCAGAUCUGAUGCAGAAGGAAACAUACGUGUACGUCUGUACCAGUUCGCACACAGUCCCACACAGCAGAGGAAGACAGCGGGCAGACACGUGAAGGCCAAUGGCUCUGGGGAAAUAUUGUCCUUCCUGCCCACGGUCUGUGAGUCUGUGCCGAGAAAGAACUACGCAUGUGGCCCAGCAGGUGUGGCUCAGUGGUUGAGCGUCAACCCAGGAACAAAGAGGUCUCCGGCUCGCUUCCCGGUCAGGGCACACGGCCAGGGCGGCUUGUGGACUCCAUCCUCAGCAGGAGGCGUGCAGAAGGCCGCCCGUCGAUAAUGUUCCUCUCUCGUCGAUGUUUCUAUCUCUCUGUUCCUCUCCCUUCCCCCCUCUCUCU